rfam:Anaerolineaceae bacterium oral taxon 439 strain W11661, complete genome.
GUAUAAUAUUUCCGUUCUCUGAAGACAGCCGGUGCCCGGGAAAGGGCUUAAUAUCCUGCCGAGGUGAAUGACAUAAGCGUUUACGCAUCCCGCGUUGUCUGGAACUGCGCGGAGGUUGCGGCCACGACAUGAACGUCUUUACCUUGCUGACCGGUUGAGACGUUUUUUAUUGAAAUU